UACGGAGGUGGCAAGCGUUGCUCGGAAUCACUGGGCUUAAAGGGCGCGUAGGCGGGCUCGCAAGUCAGGGGUGAAAUCCCACGGCUCAACCGUGGAAGUGCCUUUGAUACUGCGGGCCUUGAGGGAGGUAGGGGCGUGCGGAACUUCCGGUGGAGCGGUGAAAUGCGUAGAUAUCGGAAGGAACACCGGUGGCGAAAGCGGCGCGCUGGACCUCUUCUGACGCUGAGGCGCGAAAGCCAGGGGAGCAAACGGG
rnacentral:rRNA from 1 species